rnacentral:tRNA from 1 species
GCUAUGAUGACUGAGUGCUUAAGGUGUUGGAGUAGCAAGCCACUAGGUGCAAGUUCAAAUCCUGCUCACAGUG